CGGUUGAUCCUGCCGGAGGCCACUGCUCUUUUGGUCCGACUAAGCCAUGCGAGUCAUGGGGCGCCUUGCGCGUUCCGGCGGACGGCUCAGUAACACGUCGGUAACCUACCCUCGGGAGGGGGAUAACCCCGGGAAACUGGGGCUAAUCCCUCGUAGGCCUGAGGUACUGGAAGGUCCUCAGGCCGAAAGGGUCUUUGACCGCCCGAGGAUGGGCCGGCGGCCGAUUAGGUAGUUGGUGGGGUAACGGCCCACCAAGCCGAAGAUCGGUACGGGCCAUGAGAGUGGGAGCCCGGAGAUGGACACUGAGACACGGGUCCAGGCCCUACGGGGCGUAGCAGGCGCGAAACCUCCGCAAUGCUCGAAAGAGCGACGGGGGGACCCCCAGUGCCGUGGCAUCGCCACGGCUUUUCCGGAGUGUAAAGAGCUCCGGGAAUAAGGGCUGGGCAAGGCCGGUGGCAGCCGCCGCGGUAAUACCGGCGGCCCGAGUGGUGGCCGCUAUUAUUGGGCCUAAAGCGUCCGUAGCCGGGCCAGUAAGUCCCUGGCGAAAUCCCACGGCUCAACCGUGGGGCUUGCUGGGGAUACUGCUGGCCUUGGGACCGGGAGAGGCGGAGGGUACUCCUGGGGUAGGGGUGAAAUCCUAUAAUCC
rnacentral:rRNA from 1 species